GUAGGGUGCGAGCGUUGUCCGGAAUUAUUGGGCGUAAAGAGCUCGUAGGCGGUUUGUCGCGUCGGCCGUGAAAACUUGGGGCUUAACUCCAAGCUUGCGGUCGAUACGGGCAGACUUGAGUUCGGCAGGGGAGACUGGAAUUCCUGGUGUAGCGGUGAAAUGCGCAGAUAUCAGGAGGAACACCGGUGGCGAAGGCGGGUCUCUGGGCCGAUACUGACGCUGAGGAGCGAAAGCGUGGGGAGCGAACAGGAUUAGAUACCCUGGUAGUCCACGCCGUAAACGGUGGGUGCUAGGUGUGGGGGGCUUCCACGCCCUCUGUGCCGCAGCUAACGCAUUAAGCACCCCGCCUGGGGAGUACGGCCGCAAGGCUA
rnacentral:rRNA from 1 species